GACGAACGCUGGCGGCGUGCCUAAUACAUGCAAGUCGAACGAAGUGGGGACGGGUGAGUAACAAGUGGGUAACCUCCCAUCAGAGGGGAUAACACUUGGAAACAGGUGCUAAACCGCUACUGAUGGAUGGACCCGCGGUGCAUUAUCUAGUUGGUGAGGUAACGGCUCACCAAGGCCACGCUGAAUAGCCUACCGUAGGGGGGGAUCGGGCACACGGGGACUGAGAGACGGCCCGGACUCCUACGCGAGGCAGCAGUAGAGAAUCUUAGGCAAUGGAAGAAAGUCUGACCGAGCAACGCCGCGUGAGUGAAGAAGGUUUUCGGAUCGUAAAACUCUGUUGUUAGAGAAGCGGUAUCUAACCAGAAAGCCACGGCUAACUACGUGCCAGCAGCCGCGGUAAUAC
rnacentral:rRNA from 1 species